rnacentral:rRNA from 1 species
CAGUCGCCACGGUAAUACGAAGGGUGCAAGCGUUAAUCGGAAUUACUGGGCGUAAAGCGUGCGUAGGCGGUUUGUUAAGUCUGCUGUGAAAUCCCCGGGCUCAACCUGGGAAUGGCAGUGGAUACUGGCAAGCUAGAGUGUGUCAGAGGAUGGUGGAAUUCCCGGUGUAGCGGUGAAAUGCGUAGAGAUCGGGAGGAACAUCAGUGGCGAAGGCGGCCAUCUGGGACAACACUGACGCUGAGGCACGAAAGCGUGGGGAGCAAACAGGAUUAGAUACCCGUGUAGUCCCUGUCUCUUAUGC